GCACGCGGAGACGCAACAAUUGCUCGGUACCCGCGCGGUACGCGUCAUGUUACGAAAGGCAAAGGUAUAAGCCGUUACACGCGAUCCAGAAUCUGACGGUCAGCAGCGAGUGGCGAUCGCGGCGAAGCGAGGAGGCAAGGCGAAGCGAGGCGAGGCGAGGCGAGGCGAGUAGCGGAUGCGAAAGAGUGCAGCAGUGCGGAGAGCGGCAGCCUUAGAGUUUACCGAGAGAAACGAGCGGUCAGUGCGCGGCUGAAGGUGGACCGACGAGUCGAGCAUGCGUAGAGGAGAACGCGGAACCGAUCAGAUCCCUGUCCAGGAUAAACGAGCGCGAAAGCUCUGCGGGGAGGUGCGGAAAAUUGUUGCGAAUUGUCGUAUGGGGCCGUUGUCGCAGUUGCCGAUCUCCCACCCCCGAUUAUUCGAAAGCGAUAAACCGACCGGAAAUGCCCCGAUCGUUUCUUGAUCUCGAUCUCCACGUUCACCACCACCACCCCUGCAGCAGCGACGCUCGCCGGUCGUCGUCGACUUUCUACACCUCGCCUCGAUCGCCCGUCGGGUCAAUCUCGUCGUCAGUGUCUGUGAUCUUCUUGUGUGUAUUGUGAAAAAGAUCGGCCGAGGGACACCGGCGAGCUGGAGGCCAACGUUGGCGCUGGAGGCGGUUCCGCCCCCAGAGGGUCCAGUCCUCCCGUCACCAUCGGCAGCAUUAACGUAUUAAAAAACGUCCGGGAUUGACAACCGUCGAGCGGAAUCAUGGGUGGGCCGUCGAGACUGCGUACCAUCACUGAUGAUCGCUUCUCGUGCUUCGGCGUCGGCUGCGACGGUCGGCAGGAGUCACGUGUCAGGACGGCUGCAUGACGAGAGGAAAACGCGGGAAGAGAAGAAGACGAAGAAGCAGAAGAAGAAGAAGGAAGGAGGGAUGGAGAAAACCAACUCUGGAGCUUUCACCUCCUCCCUCGCCCUCCAGCUCCAGGUCACUUCGCCACUUGGCGGCUUCGCGUUAACCAAAGUCAGGCCGCCGAGCGUCCGAUCCGUCCACGAAGAAGGCUCAUCCCGGGAAUCGAUGAACAAGUUAAUGAUUGGGGCGCAGAAGCGAGAUACGAAGACGGACGCAGUCAAAAUUCGAGCAUCCACGCGCGUGAGGUUCACCGGUUGGAGAAAUACAAUCCCAUGAUCGAUCCGGAGGAAAGGAAAAUAGGGUAUUUCGCUUAUCAGGAAGGAAGAAGAAGAAGAGCAGGAGGAGGAGGAGGAGGAGGAGGAGGAUGGUAAAAAAGAGACGCUAACAAGGCGGAUGAGGCAUGUGGCAGGCAGAACUCACACGGGUCCAGCGGCACGCGCGUCCUGUUACAAAGUGCCGCCCCAAUCGAGAAGGACGAAGAAAACAAGGAUCAGGCGGUGUCGUUGAUGCUCGGAGCUCCGGGAGAUUAGGAGACCGGAGCUGCAACGCCGGCUCGGCUUGGCGCUCUCUCAGCACCGCUUCAGGAACCCGGCGUUCGGGGAACGCAUAAAUUAUAACCCCUGAUUAGACACGCGUAUACACGUGUAUACGUAUAGUGUGUGAUAUACGCAAGACGUUUUUCGUUUCCAGAGACCGAGUCCAAGGGUCGUUUUUGAGAUGGUGCAGCAGUCCUGCAUCGCCGCACCGACUCCGAUGGGCACGAAUGUAUGAUAAACAAUUUUAUGGCUAUGCAUCGUACGGUGCACAUUUAUAUAGAUAUUGUUAUUUAUGUAUAUGUUCAUGUACAGACUCUUCGGCGAGGAGCUUUGUUGUCUAUACUGCGGUACGUCUGCAGAAUCAGCUAAGACGAUGUUCGAUACAUACAUAAUAUGUAUAAUAUGUAUUCUUUUCGAAUAUAUAUGUAUAUGUAAAUGCUUAGAAUUUUAUUCGAAAAGGUUCGAAAGAAUCAGAGCUUAUAAUGUAUAAUUAAAAUAUCACUUUUAAUUUUGUCGACCAAAGUUCAGCUGCGAUAUAAAAUAAAGAGAAAACGAAACGGAAAGAGGUGAAAAUAAAUAACACGUCUAACAUUCCAAUCUAUGCACACAGGUAUAAUAAUAUUGCAUAUACUCUAUAGAAUAAUGAAUAUAUGCAAAUACGAAUAUAAAUUAAUAAAUAAAUAAAUAAAUGUAGUGUACGACCGAAUGGAAACAAUUCCUUUGAAAGGAAAUUUUGAAUUUGAGAGUAAUUAGAAGCGAGUUGAAACAAAUUGAAAAACAAAAAAAGAAAAAAAAACACCAGAGAGUAAAAAUAUAUCAAUCAAAUAUUAAAUGAAAAUUGAUAUUUCUGUAACUCUAUAAAUAUAACCCGCACGAAUUAUUAUUACACUUAUAACAGAUCCUUAAGCGACGAAUAUUGCAACAAUGAAAUUGUAUGAUAUGUAUGUAAUUUCGUAAAUAUAAAAUUAAAGCACUCUUAAUCUCCCA
rnacentral:misc_RNA from 1 species